rnacentral:rRNA from 1 species
CUGGGUGUAAAGGGUGCGUAGGCGGCUCCGCAAGUCAGGCGUGAAAUACAUGGGCUUAACCCAUGGACUGCGUUUGAAACUGUGGAGCUUGAGUGAAGUAGAGGUAGGCGGAAUUCCCGGUGUAGCGGUGAAAUGCGUAGAGAUCGGGAGGAACACCAGUGGCGAAGGCGGCCUACUGGGCUUUAACUGACGCUGAAGCACGAAAGCAUGGGUAGCAAACAGGAUUAGAUACCCUGGUAGUCCAUGCCGUAAACGAUGAUUACUAGGUGUGGGGGGUCUGACCCCUUCCGUGCCGGAGUUAGCACAAUAAGUAAUCCACCUGGGGAGUACGGCCGCAAGGUUGAAACUCAAAGGAAUUGACGGGGGCCCGCACAAGCAGUGGAGUAUGUGGUUUAAUUCGAAGCAACGCGAAGAACCUUACCAGGUCUUGACAUCCAACUAACGAAGCAGAGAUGCAUUAGGUGCCCUUCGGGGAAAGUUGAGACAGGUGGUGCAUGGUUGUCGUCAGCUCGUGUCGUGAGAUGUUGGGUUAAGUCCCGCAACGAGCGCAACCCUUGCGAUUAGUUGCUACGCAAGAGCACUCUAAUCAGACUGCCGUUGACAAAACGGAGGAAGGUGGGGACGACGUCAAAUCAUCAUGCCCUUUAUGACCUGGGCCACACACGUACUACAAUGGCCGUUAACAGAGGGAAGCAAGACCGCGAGGUGGAGCAAAACCCUAAAAACGGUCCCAGUUCGGAUUGUAGGCUGCAACCCGCCUACAUGAAGUUGGAAUUGCUAGUAAUCGCGGAUCAGAAUGCCGCGGUGAAUACGUUCCCGGGCCUUGUACACACCGCCCGUCACACCAUGGGAGCCGGUAAUACCCGAAGUCAGUAGUCUAACCGCAAGGGGGACGC